rnacentral:sRNA from 1 species
GUUAGUGUUGCUACUUGUGCAUGGGUUUAGCAAGUAGGGAAUUUGAUCCUGAAACCCAGGUCUUUGAAUUUCCCUCUGCACUGCUUGUAUUUUAUCACCUGUUGUGCUCUCUCUGACAUCAGCCCCCUGUAGGCUUUAAGAAAAUACAGCUAAGCCCUCAAAACUUUCAUUAAAAAUGGACUUAGGUUAUUAAGUAACAUUUUAACUGACUUGGGCUUUAUUUUGUGUUAGAAACUGCCAUCAACAUCGGUUAUGCCUGCAACAUGCUGACUGAUGACAUGAAUGAUGUGUUUGUGAUAGCAGGGAAUAAUGCUGUGGAAGUGAGAGAAGAACUCAGGAAAGCAAAACAAAAUUUGUUUGGACAAAACAGAAAUUUUUCCAAUGGCCAUGUAGUUUGUGAAAAAAAGCAGCAGCUGGAGUUGGAUUCUAUUGUAGAAGAAACCCUAACAGGAGAUUAUGCCUUAAUCAUAAAUGGCCACAGUUUGGCUCAUGCCCUAGAAAGUGAUGUCAAGAAUGAUCUCCUAGAACUUGCUUGCAUGUGUAAGACUGUAAUUUGCUGCAGGGUCACUCCACUCCAGAAAGCCCAAGUGG